GGCCACUUAAGUCAAAUACUGGGGUAAACUGAGAAGGCACCCUCCAUAGUAGACCAGACACUUUGGCCCCUGAGUCGCUCUUAAUCGGUCAGAAGAAGGCUCUUGAGCUUGGCCUGAAUGGAUGUCCCUUCCUGUGUGUGACCUGGGAUUCUUCUCCUUGCAGAUUUCUCAGGAUGACUACACAGAGCCCACUGACUCUGUAUGAGCUGACCAAGCAGAACCUGAGACCACAACCAGCAGUGCUCUGCAUGACUUGCCCACCCUGAUCUUCCAUGAAAUAUUCAUAGAGGCCUUCAUGGGGGAACACAAUGAGGUCCUGAAGGUGAUGGUGCAGGCCUGGCCUUUCCCCUGCCUCCCUUUGAGGAGCCUGAUGGAUUUGAGGGAACCAAAAACCCCACACCCUCAGCUGGGAGAAAUUACACUGAAACAGAGAAACCUAUGGACCUUGGAAGCCCUACUGGAUGGACUUGACAUGCAGCUGUCCCAGAAGGUUCAUCACAGGAGGUGGAGUCUGCAGGUGCUGGAUUGGAGGGAUGUACACCAGGACUUCUGGACUGUAGGACCCAGAGCCGUGAGUGCUGCCCGCUCAGAAGAUGGCCAGCAGUAAGGAAGCAGGCAAGCCUGGGUUGAGGAAGAAGAAGCCGACCUUGACAAUCCUCGCAUACCUUUGCUUUGAAGCCUGGAUUAGGCCUUGUGCCACCUGUGAUGAAUUACAACUCUGUCUCUUGAAGUGGGCCAGGAAGAGAAAAGCUUAGUACUCCUGUGCUGUGAGAAGGUGAUGAUCAAUUCCAAUGGUGUCUUUACAUUCCUGAAGCUUCUUCGCGCUAUGCAACUGGACUCUAUCCAGGAGCUGGACGUGUUCAGUGACUGGGGUCGGGAAAGCAUGAAGCAUUUGUUCCUCAGCUCAAGAAGAUGAUGAACCUUCACACAUUUCACUUCAGUAGCCUGAGCCCAGAAGUGUAUACUUCAGCCUGGAAAAACAAAUGGGAUUUCCCCAUCUAUGCUUUUCACUUAGGACAGAUGCAAAAUCUCCUGGAGCUUUGUAUAGAUGUUGUCUUCUUCCUGGAAGGAACUCUGCAUAAAAUCUUAAGGUGAGUGUGUGGUGAGCUCACCUGCACAUACAAGGGAAUAGUGAAUAUGAAGAAAGCAUCUGUGUGUCAAGCUGCCAGCAGUGUGGGGAAUGC
rnacentral:lncRNA from 1 species